CAUCGCCAUCGGCGUGGGCGCGGCCGUCGCGCUGCUGGCGCCGGCGCCGGCCGCCAAGCUGGUGUUCUGGCCGCUGUUCAACCUGCUGGUGCUGA
rnacentral:tRNA from 1 species